GUGUUGUAUGAAAGGAAAGAAGGUUAGCACUCUCCUUGACAAGUACGGAAGAGGCUUCAGCCUGCAGCACACAUAUGGUUAAGGCAUUGCCACCUACUUCAGGAGCCCACAGAACAAGGAGUAUAGACAUAGCUCCUGUACUACUUCUUUCU
rnacentral:ncRNA from 1 species